rnacentral:rRNA from 1 species
AGUGAACGCUGGCGGUAGGCCUAACACAUGCAAGUCGAACGGCAGCACAGUAAGAGCUUGCUCUUACGGGUGGCGAGUGGCGGACGGGUGAGGAAUACAUCGGAAUCUACUUUUUCGUGGGGGAUAACGUAGGGAAACUUACGCUAAUACCGCAUACGACCUACGGGUGAAAGCAUGGGAUCUUCGGACCUUGCGCGAUUGAAUGAGCCGAUGUCGGAUUAGCUAGUUGGCGGGGUAAAGGCCCACCAAGGCGACGAUCCGUAGCUGGUCUGAGAGGAUGAUCAGCCACACUGGAACUGAGACACGGUCCAGACUCCUACGGGAGGCAGCAGUGGGGAAUAUUGGACAAUGGGCGGAAGCCUGAUCCAGCCAUACCGCGUGGGUGAAGAAGGCCUUCGGGUUGUAAAGCCCUUUUGUUGGGAAAGAAAAGCAGCAGGUUAAUACCCCGCUGUUCUGACGGUACCCAAAGAAUAAGCACCGGCUAACUUCGUG